rnacentral:tRNA from 1 species
GGCCGAAUGGCGAAAUUGGUAGACGCAUGACACUUAAAAUGUCAAGCCUAACAGGCGUGUGGGUUCGAUUCCCACUUCGGCCACCA